ensembl:lncRNA
AAGAAGCACCAGCUUUAUUAAAGGACAUAAGCCAACCCAUUCAAAGCAAAAGUCUCUCUAAAUAUUAAAAACCUAGCAAAAUUAUUGUGCAAUUUUAUAUUGAAUGCACUCAGUUUUGAUAUUUUUACACCCUGCCAUUUUACAUGUUACAGGUACAUAUUUUGCUACAUUCGAAGGCUAGGGGUCAAAUCGCAGUUGCAGCUGCCAACCUACACCACAGACAGAGCAACAGAGGAUCUGAGCUGCGCCUGCGACCCACAUCACAGCUGACAGCAACGCCGGAUCCUUAACCCACUGAGUGAGGCCGGGGAUCAAACCUGUAUCCUCACGGAUGCUAGUCAGAUUCGUUUCCACUGAGCCACAACGGGAACUCCAUGAUGUUAACGUCUUAAUGUUGACAAAAGUACCAUAAUAAUAUGAGAUGUGAACUUUCUUUUUUUUUUUUUUUUGUCUGUCUGCCUUUUCUAGGGCCACACCCGAGGCAUAUGGAGGUUCCCAGGCUAGGGAUCUAACUGGAGAUGGUGCUGCCGGCCUAUGACAGAGCCACAGCAAUGCUGGAUCGGAGCCGUGUCUGCGACCACAGCUCAUGGCAACGCUGGAUCCUUAACCCACUGAGCAAGGCCAGGGAUCGAACCCGCAACCUCAUGAUUCCUAGUCGGAUUCGUUAACCACUGUGCCACGACAGGAACUCCGAGAUGUGAACUUUAGAGGAAGCUGGGUAAAGGGCAUUUGGGAUCUCUGCACUAUCUUUGCAACUCUUUUUUAAGUCUAAAAUAAUUCUAAAAUAGAAAGGGCUUUAAAAACCCAAUUUGCUUCAUACCUUGGGCUCCAACCUUCCGCCUUACAGUAAUAUAAAAAUAUUGCUUUUUACUUUGAAAUGAGAAUGUACCACCUACUCAGAACUCAAAUUAUUGUGAAUCCUGCCAACAGCCCUUACGACAAGCCAACAAGCUUACGUUUGGUUAUCCUAAGGAGCUGAGGCAUCUGCAGACCAUUUGAGCUACUCAGCUUAUACACUGUGUGAUAGAAAUUAAUUUCCUGGCUUCAGCUGGUUUUUCAGAAAUCACUCACAUCCAGCGCAUUGUUUAAUAAAGACGUUUAAAAUGUCUUUGUAUGAAAAUGGGGCUUCUAACGUCUCUUUUGUCUUUCUCUUCCUCUUUCGUCUUUUUCUUCUCAUUUUCUCUUCUGUCUCCACGCGUCUCCACGUGAGUCUUUCUCCCUGGUGAUCUCCUUUGACAGCCUUGACUUAUUUAAAUCCAGGUUAUUGGGGAAAAGUUUAAGAUAAGUGAUGAAUACACCCGAAGUUCAGACAGAACUAUGCACCAGCUGACUUAGGAUCCCUUCAACAUCAACGAUUUAAUAGAAAACGCUGGUGGCUUCCAUUGAACACCUCUACAAUAACACAGCCAACUACCUUGAAGGAUAAAAGUUAGCAGAUGUCAGAAAGGGCCUGAGGUUUAGAUUAUGGCUUUUCAGCUCUGAAGAGUCGCCCUAAAGUUAGACUCCGAGGAGGUCUAGCUUCUGAUAGUAUAAACAUUAUCACUUUGACAGGAAAGAGCUACUUUCUCCAGAAUCUUUUUAUACAUAGUAGAUUUUAGGUCAUCCUUAAUUUUUUUGCCUUUCAGUAGAGAGGGGGGUCAUUGACCUACAUACGGAGCCAUUUCAUUUCCUUACUCUUGAUGGCAGUGGUCUCCACACCUAGGGACCCAGCUCUGCUCCAACCCCUUUUAGUCAGCAAUUCACCCUGGGUGCAGGACUUUAAAACCUUUGAGUCUCUGAGUUCCUGGGAUUAAAAAAAAAAAAAAAA